rnacentral:lncRNA from 1 species
CGGGACCCCCCAGGAUGGAGCCCCCGACCUGCGGCAGCCCCGGAGAGUGGCACCGGUGAGGGGGGACACAAUGUCCCCAAUGUCCCCAAUGUCCCCAACGUCCCCAAUGAUGUCCCCAAUGUCCCCCCAAUGUCCCCCCAAUGCCCCCAAUGCCCCCAAUGUCCCCAAUGUCCCCAAUGUCCCCCCAAUGUCCCCCCAACCCCCCCAAUGUCCCCAAUGUCCCCCCAAUGUCCCCCCAACCCCCCCAAUCCCCCCGAUGUCCCCAAUGUCCCCAAUGUCCCCAAUGUCCCCCCAAUGUCCCCCCAAUGCCCCCAAUGUCCCCAAUGUCCCCAAUGUCCCCAGUGUCCCCCCCAUGUCCCCAAUGUCCCAAAUGUCCCCAAAUGUCCCCAAAUGUCCCCAAUGUCCCCAAUGCCCCCAAUGUCCCCAAUCCCCCCAAUCCCCCCAAUCCCCCCAAUGCCCCCAAUGUCCCCAAUGUCCCCAAUGUCCGCAAUCCCCUCAAUGUCCCCAAAUGUCCCCAAUGAUGUCGCUGUCCCCAAAUGUCCCCAAUGUCCCCAAAUGUCCCCAGCUCCCCCCGGCACUGGCGCUCGCUCCUGCCCGAACUGUCCCAGUUGGUGCCAUGGCCCCGCGGCGGGGGAGGGGCACGAUCCGAGGUUCAGGUGCUGCAGAACGUCAUCUCUUACCUGGAGUUCCUGCAGGAGCGCGUGAGGGCGGCGCGGGCGGCCGCAGGCCUCCCCCCUUGUGGGGACCCCUCGGAGCCGCCCCCCCCAAACCUUGGGGACACCGAGCCCAGGUGGGAAAUUUGGGGACAUUUGGGGACAUUUGGGGACAUUUGGGGACAUUUGGGGCUUUUUUGGGGGGGGGAGAGUUUAGGGGAAGUUUGGGGUUUUAGAGGUUAAAUU